GCUCGUAGUUUAAUUUCUGCUGAGGGUAAUCGGUCCACCCACUGGGUGAGUAAUUGUUUGCCCUUUGCAUUUUGUGAGCAAUGCAUCUGCACUUGAUUGUGCUGUGUGUCCUGUUCAUGCAAUUUACUUUGAGGAAAUUAGAGUGUUUCGAGCAUGCAUAUGCACCGAGCACAUUAGCAUGGAAUAAUUUACACUGAUCGUCGCUGUAUUUGUUGGUUUUUAGGGCUUCGAUAAUGACUGAUAGGGAUAAUUGGUGGUAUUCGCAUUUAAUAGUCAGAGGUGAAAUUCUUGGAUUUGUUAAAGACGAACUGCUGCGAAAGCAUUUGCCAACUAUGUUUUCAUUGAUCAAGAACUAAAGUUAGGGGAUCGAAGACGAUCAGAUACCGUCCUAGUCCUAACAAUAAACAAUGCCGACUAGGAAUUGAAGGUUGUCAAUUGCAUGACUCCUCCAGCAUCUUAUGACAAAUCAAAGUAUUUGGGUUCCGGGGGGAGUAUGGUCGCAAGGCUGAAACUUAAAGGAAUUGACGGAAGGGCACCACCAGGAGUUGAGCCUGCGGCUUAAUUUGACUCAACACGGGGAAACUUAUCAGGUCCCGACAUAAUAAGGAUUGACUAAUUGAUUGCUUCUUCUUGAUUAUAUGGGUGGUGGUGCAUGGCCGUUCUUAGUUGGUGGAGUGAUUUGUCUGGUUAAUUCCGUUAAC
rnacentral:rRNA from 1 species